UUGUAAACCAACAUAAUAUUAAUAAAAACUCAAACUUCACGUAAGGAGGAGGAAAAGCAGGAUAGAAGAUAAGCUUUUGCUGAAGCAUCAACUCCACAGUUUUCAGUCCUUGGAACAAAAAGAACAUACAUAAACAUAAACAUAGAACGAAAGAGAUCGCAAUCCGCUAAUAUGCCAUCUAGUUCGUUUGUAUGGCCACCGGUAUUGGGCAAGAGAACAAGCUCCUGACAAUCCGAAAA
rnacentral:lncRNA from 1 species